ensembl:lncRNA
GGAGGAGGGAUAGCAUCAAAGAUUGCAUGACACAUUAAAUGAAAAAGUCUGGAGCAAGUUAUAUAAGCCUAACUGAGCUCUGAAACGGCUCUGAAACGGAAUCUUGCAGCAUAUCCUGGAAAAGCAAAUGGAUACAGUUCCUUGUACCUAUAUCUGUGAACUUUCAUGGGAGCUCAUGCAGUGGAGUAGCUCAGAUGGAAACAAGAUAUGAUUCAGAGAUACAAGCAUGGACACUGUUAUGGUAUCGAACUCAGGACCUUGUGCUUGCAAGGCAGGCAUUGGAACAUCCAAACUAUAUCUCCAGCCCUAGUUGGGCCUUGUUGACUGGCUCAGCCUCAUAGACUUUUUCAGCUUUUGAUGACUCUGAUAGUUUUAAGAACAACUUGCUGCAUUGGUGGAAUUUCCAGGAUUAUGCUGAGUAAUUGUGUGUCCUGUCAGUGGUCUCUCUAGAGGGAGACCAGAGACCCCAGAGAGCAUCAACCUUUAAAGAAAGAAAAGGAGACAGCCUGAGGGAUGAACAGCAGUUUAUUCUCCUGACACUGUUUGACAGUCACAAAGGAAAAAGCAUUCUGGACACCAUGAUGUGAGCAGGUUUUCUCUGCCAUAUUUUCCACCAUGCCCUUACUGCCUUGGAGCCAGCCAUCUAUUGACUGAAUCUCUUAAAAACCUUGCACCAAAAUAAACUACUCUUCCUCUAAAUUUGGGGUGCAGGACAUUUUAUUCCAGUGACAGGAAAAGAGACCAAAACAGAGUCUAUUACUGAAAGAAGGGCUGUUUUGUGAUAACUUGACCUUGUGGAUCAUAAGCCUUUGGAACUGGUUUGCAGGAGGAAUUUCAAAACGUUUGAAGAUUCUAGCUAAAAGAGCCAUAGAAUACUGUAAACUGAGCUUGAUAGGAGACUCUUGUUGAGGAUAAUAAUGCUAAUAAGAAUGAAGAAGGUAUACAAGGCUCAGGAGGAUUCAGUUAGGAGCAAGGAUUCCAUUGGCAAUUGGACCAGAGACCAUGUGUGUUAUCCUUUGGCAGAAAAUUUAUCAGCAGUUUGUUUCUGUCCUGAGCCUUUGAGGGAGAAUGAGAUUAAGGAGAGGGGGUGGACUAAUUAAUUUAACAAAAGAAAUUUCAAGGAAGCCCAACAUUCAGCAUAUGACAGGGGUUAUUCUAGAUGCUUUCAACCAGAUUUAGUGAGAAUUAGGAGCAAAGAGACCAUUUGGAAGUUUUCAGUUUUGCCAGUAAGAAUGCACUUAUAAAGUUGGGGCAAAGGAAGGCAUGAUUGCUUAAGAGAUUAACACAUAAAAAGAAGCCAAGUAUUUUGCAUGAAAAAAAUAGUAAAAAUGGCUUUGAGGCAUCUUAGGAAUUGGCAAUUCAGCCUAUCUUUCCCAGGCUCAAAGGUGUAAAAGAGGAAAGGUCUCCUUUGAAAAAUUUUUCUGUGAGAAGAGAGCCCCAAGAACCACUACUGGAGAAAGACCCCUUAGGGAAUUGAUCUUUAUGGUUGAGAUCACAGUACUCAGUUAUUAGGCCCUCAGAGACCUCUACAGCCAUGAUGCGAAUGGGUUCAGCUACUACUGAAGCUAGCAGUAGACCUUAGCAUCAUCCAUAUGGUGCUGGUUUUACAGGCAUGCAGAAUGCAAGAGUUAUAAGGUCAGGGAGGCUUCUACCUAGAUUUCAAGAGAAAAGCUGGGAGACCAGACAGUGUUCUCCUGUUAGGGCAAUAAGUGAAACUGUGAGAGUAAAACAAAAUGGAGUGAAGAUCCCAAGAAGUUGGAGAAGCCAGGAAUGUAGAAUGCCUGCUGAAGAAAGCUGCAGACAAUGAGAAAAUUCACCCUCAAAAUCAAGCAAUGAAGGAUGCAAGUGGAUGCUAUAGAAGUGAGGCUGUCUAAGCCAUUUGGAGUUCACAUCUCACCUGGACAUGGAACUGUACAAUAUAAUGUUUGUUCUGCUGAGCUUCAAUCUUGCAAUUAUCCUAUUCCUUUCUACCUCCCUAUUUCACCUUUUGGAGUCAGAAUGUAUUUAACAAAAUGGGAGUAUUUAACUUUCUUUUUGUUUUUACAGGGGCUCAUAGCUAAGGGUUUGCCCUGAGUUUCAGAAGGAAUUUUGGUCUUGGAUUUGUUAAGACUGUUAGAGGACUAAAUGCAUUUUGCAUAUUGACAUGCACAUGAGUCUUUUGAGGUUCAGGGAGAAACGUUGUGAUUUAUAUCUGGAAUGCUCCUGCUAAAGCUUUAUGUGAUGGGAUUAUGGGAGUGGUGUACUUUCCUGCUGAAAGAUGUCAGGGAAAGUGUUAAAGUGAUGAGUCAUCUGGAAUAUACAUGUUUGCUGAAGUGACCUUGGCUGCAUGCCUUUCUGCAGGGAGGCUGGCUACCUCCUGUAAGUUGUGGAUAUCAAGUAUUCUGUCUCAGUGAUUAGAAGUGUGACUAAGACACCAUCAGAGUAUCAUUAAAAUUAUUCCACUGCAUUAAAAAAAUCAAAUGUGCUUCACAUAUUGUACAUAAUACCUGGUAACAACUGAUGCACCCAAACAAAUGACAAUCAUUGUAUUGCUAUUGUAUCACUCUCUCUAUAGGUGUUCCCUGUUUAUAGUGUUGUACUAUUGCAAUCACAUAGUAGGUAGCUUUCACAAAUCCUGAUACUUCAUUUUUGUAAAUUUUUGAAUUAUAAUCCACUAUGUGAAUUUUUAAAAUUUCUGUGUAAUACACAGCAUAGUUGUACCAUUGUUUGCUUAUCCUUUUAUCUAUUAAAUUCCUUUUUUAU